GCCAGACUCCUACGGGAGGCAGCAGUGGGGAAUAUUGCACAAUGGGGGAAACCCUGAUGCAGCAACGCCGCGUGAGUGAAGAAGUAUUUCGGUAUGUAAAGCUCUAUCAGCAGGGAAGAAAAUGACGGUACCUGAGUAAGAAGCCCCGGCUAACUACGUGCCAGCAGCCGCGGUAAUACGUAGGGGGCAAGCGUUAUCCGGAUUUACUGGGUGUAAAGGGAGCGUAGACGGCGAUACAAGUCUGAAGUGAAAGCCCGGGGCUCAACCCCGGGACUGCUUUGGAAACUGUGUUGCUAGAGUGCUGGAGAGGUAAGCGGAAUUCCUAGUGUAGCGGCGAAAUGCGUAGAUAUUAGGAAGAACACCAGUGGCGAAGGCGGCUUACUGGACAGUAACUGACGUUGAGGCUCGAAAGCGUGGGGAGCAAACAGGAUUAGAUACCCCUGUA
rnacentral:rRNA from 1 species